UGUUUGUUGUUUGUUGGUUUUUUUUUUUUUUUUGUUUGGGUUAAACUCCCCUCUUCUUUCUCAUUCCUUCUUGGAAUA
rnacentral:ribozyme from 13 species